GUAACAGCCCCGGAAAAUAUUAAAAUGAAAUGAGUAUUUAAAUAUAUCGAAUGCGGAAGCGAGAUCAAAAUUUCAGUUAACAUCCCUUACACGAAAAAAAAACCAAACAAACGUACUUAAAAUAUAAAAGAUUAAACUAACUAAGAAAGAAAACUCGAAAAUAAACUAUGCGUAUGACUACAGAGUCUCUAGGCAUCCCCUUCGUCGUCCUCCCGCGGAACGGGCUCGGGAACCAUGUCUUCCUGAUCUGAAAUGGUUAAUUAAGGAGUGAGCUACACUAGCCCAGUAAGAACAUCACGAUAUCUCACCGUCACGGAGAUAAAGGUGGGUAGAAAAACACAAAAAGACCAAUGGAGCAUAAUUUACAACAAACUCGUUUAUUAACAUGAAAACCUUUACCAUCCACUUACCUUGGUGGAAUUUAUGA
rnacentral:lncRNA from 1 species